rnacentral:lncRNA from 1 species
AACCAACGACGUCGUUGGUCAUAUCUGGGCCUAGUUGGUCACGACCGACACCUCUGGGCCUAGUUGGUCACGACCGACAACUCUAGCACAUAGGCCACCACUCUGAGGUGUGGCCCCAUGCGUGGAUCGAUCUGCUUUCAAUGAAAGUGAUACAAACAUGGUUAGCGUGGGAUACAUUAGGAUGGGCUUUUACAUAUGAAUGAUAGCUUGGAGCCCGAAGAAAGCCAUGAAGCAAUAAAGAUCCAAGGCCAAAAAUGCUAAUUGGUUAAUCAAGAAGGGCUCUUGUGGGUUAUUUUUUAAAGUAGCCACUUUUGAACUAUUUCUGUAGUAAGUUAUUUUGGCAAAGGCAAUAACUAUAAAUAAUUGUCUUAGCCAUUUUAUUUUGUAGUUUAUGAUGUCUAUGAUGAAUUGAGAGCUUUUAAGUUUAUAGUU